GAGAGACCGAGAGAGAGGGAGAGAAACAGAGAGCUUGAGAGAAGAGGCGUGCGGUGGGCUAGCCACCGUUUGGGGCGGACGACGGCGCCGGGGCGGGUGGUUCACGAUCCAACGCCAGUGAGGCAAAAAUCUUGGAGUUCUGGCAUUUUCUCGGUAGCCAAGCAGUAGAAAAUCCUUUUUUUUUUGGGUAAGUAUAAUUUUUAGGCUUGAUUUCUUUAUUUUUGUUUUGAUUUGGGUUGUUUUGUGAAGAUUUUCGUUAUACCCACUUAUUCCGGUUCUAUAAUGGUAAAAAUCAACCACCAAAACAGGUAUAUAUUUUGUUUUAUGCUUUCAUUUUUUUUUUCCAAGUUUUCCUGGUAACCAAUCAGAGAUUAACGUGUUUUGUAUCUGAACUAUACUUUAUUUUCAUACGUAUUCGUCAGUACCAUAAUGGAUUUUCUUGUUUCUUGGAAUUUUCUCUGAGUUGGAAUUGAUCUUCCAGCAAUUGAAGUCCGAUUUGAGCACCUAAUCGUUGAAGCAGAAGUUCAUGUAGGAGGCAGAGCCUUGCCUUCCUUCUUUAACUUCAUUAUAAACAUCCUAGAGAUGUAUGAAAUGUAAUGGCAAGGGAAAGAUAUAUGCUCCGCCUAUAAAGGUCAAUGUUUUGUAUUCAUUUAUAUAAUCAUCAUAGGUAAAGUAUACACUCUCAGAAUAUUUGUCUUCCGUAAUUUUCUUGAGUUCUAUGGCAGCAUCUGGUAAAUCGAAGCUCAUAGAUGGAGAGACAUUUUUUUUUUUUUUUUUUAUAAGUAAUCGGAACUUCAUUAAAAAAGCGUAAGGCGCCCCUUAGUACACAGGGAGUAUACAAAGGAAGAGCCCAGCUAGCCAAUAAAGCAGAACCUGGAGAGACAUUUUUAUAACUACGUGGAGAAUUUGUCUGUUGAUAAUUGAACUUAAUUAGUUGCUCAUUCUUUACAAGGUCUUUUGCUGUAUUAGAUCAGACAAUAGUUUAGUCUUAUUUGGACUUGCUCAGUGUAGCAAUGAGACAUGCAUAAAGAAAAAAACUUGGAUUGA